rnacentral:rRNA from 1 species
AGUCACUGACAUUAGAUACCCCCGUAGUCCCAGCCGUAAACUAUGCGCGUUAGGUGUACUGGUGACCACGAGUCACCGAGGUGCCGAAGGGAAACCGUGAAACGUGCCGCCUGGGAAGUACGGUCGCAAGGCUGAAACUUAAAGGAAUUGGCGGGGGAGCACAACAACGGGUGGAGCCUGCGGUUUAAUUGGACUCAACGCCGGACAACUCACCGGGACGACAGCAAUAUGUAGGCCAGGCUGAAGACCUUGCCUGAAUCGCUG